rnacentral:rRNA from 1 species
GUCGAACGGCAGCACGGGAGCUUGCUCCUGGUGGCGAGUGGCGAACGGGUGAGUAAUAUAUCGGAACGUGCCCUAGAGUGGGGGAUAACUAGUCGAAAGAUUAGCUAAUACCGCAUACGAUCUACGGAUGAAAGUGGGGGAUCGCAAGACCUCAUGCUCGUGGAGCGGCCGAUAUCUGAUUAGCUAGUUGGUGGGGUAAAAGCUCACCAAGGCGACGAUCAGUAGCUGGUCUGAGAGGACGACCAGCCACACUGGAACUGAGACACGGUCCAGACUCCUACGGGAGGCAGCAGUGGGGAAUUUUGGACAAUGGGCGCAAGCCUGAUCCAGCAAUGCCGCGUGAGUGAAGAAGGCCUUCGGGUUGUAAAGCUCUUUUGUCAGGGAAGAAACGGGUGAGGUUAAUACCUUUGCCUAAUGACGGUACCUGAAGAAUAAGCACCGGCUAACUACGUGCCAGCAGCCGCGGUAAUACGUAGGGUGCAAGCGUUAAUCGGAAUUACUGGGCGUAAAGCGUGCGCAGGCGGUUAUACAAGACAGAUGUGAAAUCCCCGGGCUCAACCUGGGAAUUGCAUUUGUGACUGUAUGGCUAGAGUGUGUCAGAGGGGGGUAGAAUUCCACGUGUAGCAGUGAAAUGCGUAGAUAUGU